CCUACGGGAGGCAGCAGUGAGGAAUAUUGGUCAAUGGACGAGCGUCUGAACCAGCCAAGUAGCGUGAAGGAUGACUGCCCUAUGGGUUGUAAACUUCUUUUAUAUGGGAAUAAAAUGUUCCACGUGUGGGAUUUUGUAUGUACCAUAUGAAUAAGGAUCGGCUAACUCCGUGCCAGCAGCCGCGGUAAUACGGAGGAUCCGAGCGUUAUCCGGAUUUCUUGGGUUUAAAGGGAGCGUAGGUGGAUUGUUAAGUCAGUUGUGAAAGUUUGCGGCUCAACCGUAAAAUUGCAGUUGAAACUGGCAGUCUUGAGUACAGUAGAGGUGGGCGGAAGUCGUGGUGUAGCGGUGAAAUGCUUAGAUAUCACGAAGAACUCCGAUUGCGAAGGCAGCUCACUGGACUGCAACUGACACUGAGGCUCGAAAGUGUGGGUAUCAAACAGGAUUAGAUACCCCUGUAGUC
rnacentral:rRNA from 1 species